UGUCUUUCAUGAGCUCACCAAAUGAACCAAACAGAGAGAUACAGUCACGUGGGUCUCCUGUCUUUCAUGAGCUCACCAAAUGAACCAAACAGAGAUACAGUCACGUGGGUCUCCUGUCUUUCAUGAGCUCACCAAAUGAACCAAGGUCUCCUGUCUUUCAUGAGCUCACCAAAUGAACCACACACAGAGAUACAGUCAUGUGUGUCUCCUGUCUUUCAUGAGCUCACCAAAUGAACCAAACACAGAGAUACAGUCAUGUGGGUCUCCUGUCUUUCAUGAGCUCACCAAAUGAACCACACACAGAGAUACAGUCAUGUGGGUCUCCUGUCUUUCAUGAGCUCACCAAAUGAACCAAACACAGAGAUCCAGUCAUGUGGGUCUCCUGUCCUUCAUGAGCUCACCAAAUGAACCAAACAGAGAUACAGUCACGUGGGUCUCCUGUCUUUCAUGAGCUCACCAAAUGAACCAAACAGAGAUACAGUCACGUGGGUCUCCUGUCUUUCAUGAGCUCACCAAAUGAACCAAACAGAGAUACAGUCACGUGGGUCUCCUGUCUUUCAUGAGCUCACCAAAUGAACCAAACAGAGAUACAGUCACGUGGGUCUCCUGUCUUUCAUGAGCUCACCAAAUGAACCAAACAGAGAUACAGUCACGUGGGUCUCCUGUCUUUCAUGAGCUCACCAAAUGAACCAAGGUCUCCUGUCUUUCAUGAGCUCACCAAAUGAACCAAACAGAGAUACAGUCACGUGGGUCUCCUGUCUUUCAUGAGCUCACCAAAUGAACCACACACAGAGAUACAGUCAUGUGUGUCUCCUGUCUUUCAUGAGCUCACCAAAUGAACCAAGGUCUCCUGUCUUUCAUGAGCUCACCAAAUGAACCAAACAGAGAUACAGUCACGUGGGUCUCCUGUCUUUCAUGAGCUCACCAAAUGAACCAAGGUCUCCUGUCUUUCAUGAGCUCACCAAAUGAACCAAGACAUGAUUGUUCUUUAGGUGCCCACGGACUAUUCCCACAUUCUCAAAAAUAUAAAUAUUGUUUAAAAUACUCCAAUUUUGGAUAUUAGGAGUUUUGGCAAGAGAAGCACUUUGUUCUCUCUCCCUCAAUACUGCAUGGCAGCGAGGAGAGUUUUCAGACAGGAAAGUAUGACCGAGGUAAUAACACCUGUGGUGGGAGAGAGAGAAGGAGGAUAUACACCCAAGUGGUUAGUAAA